AAUCAACGCUGGCGGCGUGCCUAAUACAUGCAAGUCGAGCGGAUGGGUGGGAGCUUGCUCCCUGAAGUCAGCGGCGGACAGGUGAGUAACACGUGGGCAACCUGCCCCUAAGAUCGGGAUAACUUCGGGAAACCGGAGCUAAUACCGGAUAUGAUCAUCCCUCACAUGAGGGAUGAUGGAAAGACGGUUUCGGCUGUCACUUAGGGAUGGGCCCGCGGCGCAUUAGCUAGUUGGUGAGGUAACGGCUCACCAAGGCGACGAUGCGUAGCCGACCUGAGAGGGUGAUCGGCCACACUGGGACUGAGACACGGCCCAGACUCCUACGGGAGGCAGCAGUAGGGAAUCUUCCGCAAUGGACGAAAGUCUGACGGAGCAACGCCGCGUGAGUGAAGAAGGUUUUCGGAUCGUAAAACUCUGUUGUCAGGGAAGAACAAGUACCAUAGUAACUGAUGGUACCUUGACGGUACCUGACCAGAAAGCCACGGCUAACUACGUGCCAGCCGCCGCCGUAAAAC
rnacentral:rRNA from 1 species